rnacentral:rRNA from 1 species
CAGCCGCCGCGGGAAUACGAAGGGGGCUAGCGUUGUUCGGAUUUACUGGGCGUAAAGGGCGCGUAGGCGGAUUUGUAAGUCAGGGGUGAAAUCCCGAGGCUCAACCUCGGGACUGCCUUUGAUACUGUGGAUCUUGAGUCCGGGAGAGGUGAGUGGAACUGCGAGUGUAGAGGUGAAAUUCGUAGAUAUUCGCAAGAACACCAGUGGCGAAGGCGGCUCACUGGCCCGGAACUGACGCUGAGGUGCGAAAGCGUGGGGAGCAAACAGGAUUAGAGACCCCUGUAGUCCCUGUCUCUUAUAC